GCUCCGGUGGUCUAGUGGUUAGAGCUUCCGCCUAGGAUGUGGGAGGUCGUGGGUUUGAUCUCCUGGUCGAGUCA